rnacentral:rRNA from 1 species
GACGAAGGGGGCUAGCGUUGUUCGGAAUUACUGGGCGUAAAGGGCGCGUAGGCGGCUCUUUAAGUCAGGCGUGAAAGCCCUGGGCUCAACCUGGGAGUGGCGCUUGAUACUGGAGGGCUAGAGAGCGGGAGAGGUUGGUGGAAUUCCCAGUGUAGAGGUGAAAUUCGUAGAUAUUGGGAAGAACACCGGUGGCGAAGGCGGCCAACUGGACCGUAUCUGACGCUGAGGCGCGAAAGCGUGGGGAUCAAACAGG